rnacentral:pre_miRNA from 1 species
UUUUGAUUGUUGCUCAGAAAGCCGUGCGACAAGUGAGGCUUUCGAGUAACAAUCAGAGUC